rnacentral:lncRNA from 10 species
CUGUCAUGAGGCUCAAUUGAGAUGAAGGCACCUGAGAAUGCUUUGGAAAGAAGGAGUGCAUUGAACCCCAUGGCAGCAUUGCUGAUAUUGGAUGCCUGCUCUUUCUCUCAAGAAGCUACAGUGCGGUAAUUAAUUCAUUGUUCAAAUUUCAGAGCAGGCCAGGUUUUAAUCCCCUCUGAAAUUGGUUUCAUAUGUGGAAGUCAUAGUUCUCCACCUUCUAAUUGCAACAGGGAGAUAAUGCGGCAUUAGUAUCGCAAUUUUGAGCAUGGCAUUGGGCUGGAAAUAAAUAUCAUUUAAGCUUUGAAAGCGUGGCUGCUUGGAAACGUUUUCUUUCCUAUUUCACAAAUUUAAUGCAGAGAAGAGGCUGUGCUUAUUCAAAAGAAUUAUUCCUUGAGCUGCCAAAAAAAUUAAACAGGAGCAUUUUGGAUUCUAAAUAAACAGUCUUUCACUCUCAAAGUGAGUUUCAAGUCAGAUGGAGUGACUUGUUUGCGUAGACUUGCUGAGAUAAUAUUACCAUCAAGUUGAUUGAAUUUACAUUACUUUUUGUCAUGCUGUUUAUCUACAUAUACAUUGAACUUUGCACAGAAAGUCAUUCCUGAGCAAAGGUGACUGUGUCAGAGUCUGAAAGAAAGACUGGAGCAAGAGGAAAAAUUGCAAUUUUGUAGCUACUACCUGGCUAAUGUUUCUCUUCCAUCACCUUGGUCUUAAUCCUCCCCUUUUACUUAUGCAAAGAGGAGUCAAAUUGUUUGGAAAUCUUGGGGUUUAUUAAAAGCCUUUGAACUAGAUAAUGAAAAACUCUUUUGUUCCCUCCAUUAGCCUAGCACGGUUCUGACUUCUUCCUAUUCCCAUUGUUAAUAAAGGGCUUUUCAAAGAAGAGUCUUCUGACCGUUUUAAUACCUCAGUUGGUAUGUGUUUGCUUUAGGCCCUCAUCAACAAGACAAACCAACAUAGUUUUAGAAUACACAACUUAUUGUUUGUAUUUUUAUAGGGCUAUAUGUUUUUCAGAGCUCUGACACUAAGGCCUCUUGACACAGAAUUAUAGUUUCCCCAUAUUAUUGAUGAAAAGAUUAAUUAAUCUCUGUGAGCUUCAGUUUCUUCAAGGUCAUACAGCAUGCUGGAGUCAGGUAAGACUACCCAGACAAACUCUGCACCUCAAACAUCUUUGCCAAGUAGAUAUUUUAUUUAGUAUCCUGCCCUCCAGCAAAUCCCUGAAAGAAAGCCCAGGGGCACUGAAGUGAUAUGCAAGUCCCAAGUUGAAGCCAUGGGCUCCAGGCUUAUAUUCUGUGACGUACUUUUCACCCUCACUCUCCCAAGGCAUGGGGUAUAGCUCUUGCACUGAGCUGGCUCUAUAUACAGAGGAAAUCUGAUACAGUUCAGACUAGCUCUUCAAAUCCUUCUUUGUUACAAUAAGAAAAUCUCAUUUAUGAGACUUAACUCCAAGAGUAAUGACAGCAACAAUAAUAAAAAAAAGGCUAACUUUAUAAACGAUUACGAUACGCUAAUCACUUUAUAUACAAAUUCUCAUUUAGUCCUCAUAGCAAAUAUGAGAAAGGUACUAUUACCACCCAUUUUACAGAUGGUAAAACUGAGAUUUGGGGACAUUAUCACAUAUGGGAAUCUGGAUUUAAACCCAACGUGUCUGACUCCAGAGUCUACACUUGCAGCUAUUCAUGCUGCCCUCUGUGUGCCAGGUGCUUUUCAUACAGCAUUGCCAAUUCUCACAAUAACUUCACAAAAAUAGAAAGUGAAGAGUCUAGCUCAAGGUCACAGAGCUAUUAAGGAACAGUUUCAAGAUCUAACACUAUGCCAGCCUGACUCCUUCCUUUAUGCUGAGGUGCUUUGCCCACUGCUAGGGAGAGAUCUGGCCCCGUGGCAAGGCCUGCCAAAGCCCUGGGUGAGAGGACGCCAUAGGCUACUUACCACGUUCUUGUAGAGGUAGUACACCACCAUCCUGGCCAGGCGCGAGUAACACCAGUGGCCAUGCACGAGCAGCAACUUCUUGAGAUGCUUAAAGCGGGUGAUGGCAAAGUCGCUGGACAUGACAGCCUGAGAGGUGAGAACAGACACAUCAGCUUCCAUCCAUGGCUGCCAGUGCCCCAGAGGGACUCUCUCAAGGGCGUUGCUUUGGUCUAGGCCUACGGCCAGCAGAGUCCUAAAGACCCCUUGUUGUGGUCACUCUUGGGUAGCUUUUUGGAUUCUGACACCCCACCCUCCCUUCUGGGAAAUCCAAACCUCUCUAGAAUCCAAGGAGGGCAGAUCAGAAGGGAUCAGUGGUCUAGGCUGGCUCUUCAUCCGUUUAUCCAGCA